rnacentral:rRNA from 1 species
UACGUAGGGGGCGAGCGUUGUCCGGAAUCAUUGGGCGUAAAGCGCGCGUAGGCGGCUCGGUAAGUCUGCUGUGAAAGCCCAGGGCUCAACCCCGGGAUUGCAGUGGAUACUGUCGAGCUCGAGUCCGGGAGGGGAGAGUGGAAUUCCUGGUGUAGCGGUGAAAUGCGCAGAUAUCAGGAGGAACACCAAUUGCGAAGGCAGCUCGCUGGGCCGUCACUGACGCUGAGGCGCGAAAGCGUGGGGAGCAAACAGG